UUCUGUAUUGAAACAAGUAACAAGGCUGUUAUUUUAAAGGUGCACAAGGACUAUGUGCCUAUCCUUAUGGAGUGCCUCAAUGAUGGGACUCCAGAUGUGAGGGAUGCAGCCUUUUCAGCUUUGGCAGCGAUAGCUAAGUUGGUUGGUAUGAGACCCUUGGAGCGGUCACUUGAGAAACUUGAUGAUGUUAGAAGAAAGAAGCUUUCUGAAAUGAUUUCACU